UGUGUGUAAGUAGAAAAGAGGAGAUUGAGCCUGAUCAUGUGAUGUUGAGGGAGUUGCCAGGCUGAGCAGGGCCUCCUCACUUCCCCUACAAGGCAUGCCAAGCAGAUCCAAGAGAGGCUUUGUUUUCAAGGAGUCUCAGAUGAGGGGAGAAGUGUUCCAGGAUGGAAGCUGGGCCAGGACAAGUUGAGUGUCUGCUUUGGGAUCACUGAGGCACCAAGUCUGGACUGUAGCCAGCCAAGGGUAACUGAAAUAAGACAUGCCAAAGAAACUGUAGGCGUAUCUGGCGCACGACACCCUCAAACAGUGCCUGGACAUUAUGAUGCAGUGCUGCC